rnacentral:lncRNA from 1 species
CAUAUUGUGCGUGCUGACGAGCCAUGAUAAUACGUGUGAAUAAAACGUCGAGCAUUUGUAUAAGGUGUGAGCUGAUAAUACGUGAUCCUGUUUGUAUAUCACAUGAAUGACAGUGUCAUAAGUUGUAUAUAUUACAAUGAUCAUUAUGAUAUGUUGAUUGAGUUUGUAUGAUGUAGAGUUAAUGUUGAUGGCAAUGAUGAUGAUGAUGAUGAUGAUGGAGUUUAGUGGAAAUAAACAAGAGUGCACCGCACAUGACAUACCA